rnacentral:rRNA from 1 species
AUGACUCUCGACAAUGGAUAUCUUGACUCUCACAUUGAUGAAGAAUGUAGCGAAAUGCGAUACCUCGUGUGAAUUACAGAAUCCCAUGAACCAUCGAGUGUUUGAAUGCAAGUUGCACCUGAGGCCACCUGGUCGAGGGCAUGCCUGCCUGGGCAUCAUGU